GGAAAGAUGGUAGAGUUGGUUAAUUACACCUGAUUUGAAAUCAGUUGAACUAAUUAUAGUUCCGUAGGUUCGAAUCCUACUCUUUCCA
rnacentral:tRNA from 1 species